rnacentral:rRNA from 1 species
AGCUCCAGCAGCGUAUAUUUAUAUUGCUGCGUUUAAAAAGCUCGUAGUUGAAGCGUCAGACGCGGGAGGGCGGACGGCCGCAUUGGUCAGUCGCGCCCGACCGAGCCAGGCGCAGAAUGGCGCGCGUCGCUUGCACUUCACCGUGUGAGCGCGCCGCCGCUGCACGUUCACCUUGAAGAAAUUGAACCGCUUAGAGGGGGCGAGCAGCUUGGACAGCUCAGCAUGGUAUGAUGGAACAUGGGCUCGUACUCAUUUUGUUGGUUAGAGAGUUGGCGAGCCAAUGAUUAACAGGGACUGCCGGGGGCAUUCGUACUCGGACGGGAGAGGUGAAAUUCAAGGAUCGUCCGAAGACGCCCUACUGCGAAAGCAUUUGCCAAGAAUGUUUUCAUUAAUCAAGAAC